UUAAAUGAGAUCGAGAGACCCAGACUCAUACAAAAUAAAAUAAAAACAAAGAACAGUCUGAGGCUGGGAAUAAGAAGACCUGGGUUCAAUGUAAGGCUGCCACUGAUUUGUUUUGACCCCUCUCAGCCUUAGUUCCCCCAAUAUUUAAAAUGGGCAUAACAAUCAAUUUGUUGCCCUAACUAUCUUGGAUUUGCUCUUAUUAUCUCCCUGUUCUGGCAGUGCCCUUCCAACUAUACGUUCCUAUUAAAAUCUGUCAAGGCCCAGCUCAAAACUGUUCUCCUACAGGAAGCCUUCCUUGAUCACCCCAGGUGCUAAGGAUCUUUCCCCUUUGGUCUUCAAAUACCACUUGGUCUGUCUACUUCUCCUGUACUUUUUAUGCCCGGCUUUAUAUUAGUUUUUGCGCAGAAGGUCAAGCACACACAACUCACUGCAGAUGGAGUUGGGAUUUGUUCACUUUCCCUCUUCUCCAUAGUCUCUCCAGCCACCUUCCUGCCCAAGAGACAUUUCUGACCUGAGUCUCCACUCUCCUGACUCGUCAUCGCCCUCGCCAGGGCCACUCUUUGGGGGAAAACCCCAAUUUAUGCCUCACUGCACCAGAUUUUCCGGCCAUCUUCUCUGAAUAGCCUCGAUGAUCUCCAGGGGAGGAAUCUUUGCCCUGGAACUCCCUGGAUCUGGAGGCUUAGGGACGGACACCUGUGGCCCCCAGAGGAAAGAGUAUGGACUGUCUGAAAUUCUCUGGCUCACAUCCCUAUACUGUCUUUCUCCAGCACUGGAGGCCAGAAAUUGCCUGUGUCCCUGGAAUAAUUAAAGUCCAGGGAGGUCUGAAUUUUAUCCAGACUCUAGGAAAAUGUCUCAGCAUCCCAUGUUUGCAGGGCCCUGGUUCUGCAAAAGAUGGCAUCUGAGGGCCCAAGGCAGUGGUUUCCUCCUUUCCCCAGGCUCCCCUUUUCCCCCACGAUGCCACCUCCUAUCCACAUUGGGCUUACUCCUCUCUCCUUCUUCCCAGACUUUGCCCUGAUUCCUUCUAUUGAACUGGACCCUUCUCCUUGCUCAUGUCCAAGCCUGCCAGAACCCACCUUCAAGAAGCCCACCCUUUCUCACUCCUCUCUCUUUUCUCUAGGACUUCGACCCCUACAUCAGGCUGCCAAAUUGUUGGUCAAUCCUCUUCCUGUGCUCUUGCCAGUCUUGAAGCUUGCCAAGGACAGGGCUUGAGUAUGCCCACACUUCCAGUCUCCUCCACUUUGUGAACUCUCAAAAUACAGGGUUCAAGUCACCUCCUGUCUGUCUCCACUCCACCAUGGUUAAGCACAGGGCUGGACACACGGUCGAGACCUACACAGUUGAGCUGAACUUGAACUGAGGACCCCAUUCCUCAAUUGCUCCAGUUCCUUGGGUGGGCUAGAAUGAAGAGGAACAUUGUCAGGGGAAAAGUUCUCUCUCACUUGGCAACUAGCUAUAUGGAAAUUUCAUCAUGUGAAUGUCCAGAGGGCUCAAGUUCUUCCUCUGGAUGUGAAUAGUGUUCUUUCUCAUAAG